rnacentral:pre_miRNA from 1 species
AGUGGAUUGAUGAAUUGAUAUGUUAGAGUGGAUUGAUAAAUUGAUAUGAUCAAUCCACUCUAACAUAUCAAUUCAUCAAUCCACU